UACGUAGGGUGCGAGCGUUAAUCGGAAUUACUGGGCGUAAAGGGUGCGCAGGCGGCGUCGCAAGUCAGGCGUGAAAUCCCCGGGCUUAACCUGGGAACUGCACUUGAUACUACGAUGCUGGAGUAUGGCAGAGGGAGGUGGAAUUCCACGUGUAGCGGUGAAAUGCGUAGAGAUGUGGAGGAACACCGAUGGCGAAGGCAGCCUCCUGGGCCAAUACUGACGCUCAUGCACGAAAGCGUGGGGAGCAAACAGG
rnacentral:rRNA from 1 species